AUGGAAAAGACAUUUGCAUACAGGAGACAUGAAGUGGUUCGUGAUACACCAAUGAUACAAGACUUUCAGGCAAGAUGGCCAGCACUCUUUGACGUAAGCGAGAUAAAUGCUGAAUUUAAGCGGAUUACCACCAUGCCCCUUCAGUCCAGAUUUCUCUCUCAGUUAGAUGUGCACUCUGAGAAACUGAUGGUUCUGUUUAAAAAAAGAGGAGGACAAAUAGGCAAACACCUAGAGAGCAUCAUAGCACCCAUGGCUCAAAAUGAUGAUGUUGAUUUAGGACGAGAAUGUAUCAUCAAGGCAAUUUGUGUGUACCUCAACGAGGAUCCAGAAAACCUCUUUAGAGAG